CCAGCGGGAAGAAAUGCGGAAAAGAAACAAAUCAGUCGCGCGAAGACGAGAAGAGCAAAAGUGAAGUUUAACCAAACAGACAAUGGCGUCGACUAACUAGAGGCCACAAUGGACGACGCUCGUUUGUCAUUGAAUAGCAGUGUCAGUUAUCGUACAGACCGAAGUUGCUUUAUAAUGAGGCGCUCGGCGGCCCCCAGCCGGCUUCGGGCUAACGCUGCAAAAAAGCCUCGUUUUGUGCCUCCUGGACCCGCUUCUGCAUUUACCGGUGCCGAAAGCGAGCCCCAUUGCGCUAAACUUGCACCAGACAAUGCCUUGAAUAAGGUCCAAAGAAGUCUCGCGGCUCCAUGUCCCGACAAAAGGGGAUACGCGGGCCAGCCGGCGCCAGCUUUGUCCAAGGUUCUGGCCCGAGUGCUCAGUGCAACAGAAAGUAAGGAGAAUGUUGCUGUGCCGGAACAACCGAGCGCUGCCUGCCGAGAGCUCCCAACACCGCGAGAAAACAGAGUGGCAGGCCUCCCUCAGACGUGCGCGGGUUCAAAUCCGGCCCAAAAUACAGACCUGAGCCAGGACGCGGUGCGGUACUUCAGUGUUAUGUGGUGUAAGGCUAGCAAGAAGAAACACAAGCGCUGGGAGGGGGACGCUGUGCUGGUGACGAGGGGCCGCACGGCCACCCUCAAGGAUAUGGAGGGCAAGGACAUUGGACAGGGGAGUGGCUACAAAACGUCAGCGCUGGCCUCUCUCGCUGAAGGAGAAACCCUGAUGAUCGGCGCCAAGGAGGUGGAGGUUAUGGGAGUCAUAUCCGCAGAAUCGUUCGCCACCGGACGUUGUUUCCAAGAAGACGAGCCGCUCCAGAAGAGGGCGCCCCCUCCUUCCCGUCGCUUGGUCUCCAAACCUUUCUGCCCUCCGAUGCCGUCGGGGAGAGGAGAGCAACUCGGCUCACGACCCAGGGAAGAACAGACCUGCAGACCUCGCUAUGAUCCACAAGCUGCCGGUGCGCUGGUGAUGCCUCGGCCCACUCCCAACCACCAGUGGUCUAAUAACAAGUCAGGGCUUCCGGUAGUUGACGUUGUGGUUGACCCGCACCUGACGGCCCACCUGCGCCCCCAUCAGAGAGAAGGCGUCCUCUUUCUCUAUGAAUGCGUCAUGGGCAUGAGAGCCGCGGGACGCUACGGGGCCAUCCUGGCCGACGAGAUGGGCCUGGGGAAGACCCUCCAGAGUGUGGCGCUGUGCUGGACCUUGCUCAAGCAGGGUCCGUACGGAGGGAAAGCGCUGGCCAAGCGUGUGCUGGUGGUCACUCCUGGCAGCCUGGUGCAGAACUGGGCCGCCGAGUUCAACAAGUGGCUCGGCCGUGAGAGGAUCAACGUUUUCACUGUGGAUCAGGAUCACCGGAUCGAGCAGUUCUUGUUGUCCCCUCUGCACAAUGUUCUGGUGAUCAGCUACGAGAUGCUUCUGCGCUCCCUCGAGCAGGUGCAAAAAGUGGACUUCGGUCUUAUCAUCUGCGACGAGGGCCACCGAUUAAAAAACAGCAACAUCAAAACGUCCUCGGCCCUCAGCAGCCUGAGCUGCACUCGCAGAGUCAUACUAACAGGCACCCCGGUGCAGAAUGACUUGCAGGAGUUGUACGCCAUCAUAGAGUUUGUUAAUCCCGGAAUACUCGGCUCCACCACGGCGUACAGGAAGGUGUUUGAGGGGCCCAUCCUUCGUUCCAGGCAGCCUUCCUGCUCUGAGGAGGAUCGAGCCUUGGGAGACGAGCGAGCGGCGGAGCUGUCCCGACUUACCGGCGCCUUCAUCCUGAGGAGGACGCAGGAGAUCAUCAACCGCUACCUGCCGCCGCGCCUCGACUGGACCUUGUUCUGCAGGCCUUCGCCGCUGCAGCGAGAGAUCUACGCGCAUCUUGUGAGCCACAGAAUGUUCCGGGCCUGCCUCCAGGGCUCCGUGCAAGACCAAACCCACUUGGCCUGCAUCACGGCCCUGAAAAAGCUGUGCAACCACCCGGCUCUGCUUCGCACCGCCGUCCUGGACAAAAUGAAACGUGAAUCAGACGAGAGCUCAUUAUACGAAGGCCUAGCGCAGUUUUUCUCAGAAAUCUACUCUUCAGAUAGCUUUAACCCUGCUGACUCGGGGAAACUUUUGGUUCUGUUGGACCUCCUGAAGACCAUCAGACAGCUCAACCCGUCAGACAGGGCGGUUGUGGUGUCCAACUACACUCAGACGCUGGACAUGCUGCAGACGAUUUGCGCUCACUCGGGCUACACGUUCUGUCGGCUCGACGGACAAACGCCCACCGGCCAGAGGCAGCGGCUGGUCGACGGCUUCAACGGCCCUCAUUCUCCCGCUUUCUUGUUUCUUCUCAGCUCCAAAGCUGGCGGCGUAGGGCUGAACCUGGUGGGGGCUUCCCACCUGGUGCUCUAUGACCUCGACUGGAACCCUGCCACUGACAUUCAGGCUAUGGCUCGAGUGUGGCGAGACGGACAGAAGAAAACCGUGCACACCUACCGUCUCCUCACCGCAGGCACGAUCGAGGAGCGCAUCUUCCAGCGGCAGGUGUCCAAACAGGGUCUUUCCGGCACAGUGGUGGACCUGGGCAAAGGCUCCGAGCACGCCAGCUUCUCCAGCAACGAGCUGCGAGAUCUCUUCAGCCUAACGGACACGCCCUCGCUCACUCACGACCUGCUCAACUGCGGCUGCGACAUGGACGGCUCGCUCAACGAUGUGAAAGCAGAAGAGGAAGAGGAGGAGCCUCGUGAAAGUCGGCCAUGCCGCCUCGGCCGCGACCGCGGCGGGUCGGCCCAGAAGCACCUCAGCAUGUCCGAGUUGAUGCAGUGGAGACAUUUCUCCGGGGAAGCCGCCACCUUUUCGGACCCUUACCUCGAUCACGCCCGAGGUCACGUCACCUUUGCCUUUCAGACCACCAUCUCUCACCUGGGACAGUAACCACCACCGUUUGCUACCGAGGAAAAAUCCUUUUUUUUUUUUUGCUCAGGGAAACGUGAACUCUCCGAAAUGUCCAGCACUUAAUUAAGAUAACGCUGCCGUUUUAAUUCAAAUUGUUAGCUACCAGUUUAGCAGCAUUAUUGGGGUUAUAGUUUUCCACUUGUGUAGAACCACAUUCAUCAUACAUCACGGGUAUGGUGCAUCUAAAUAAAAAUGAAAAAAAUUGAAAAGACAUGAUUUUAAAUUGAAGUGAAGAAACAGGAUGGCUGGCGUUAUUCCUCGUUUAACGGGCUCUCAGAUCGUGCUGAUGUCCCCAAUAUUUGUCUGGUAAAAUGGCCGACAGCAGUUCAUCUUCACGAGGGGCUCUUUGCUCCGGGUUUAUGCAAAGCACCAAUUUACGGAUGGUCUCGUCGUAAGUUGCCCGGCGCGAGUUGACAGUUUUGGCAGAACAAUAACCGUUGCCACGGUGACACUUUCUCAUGCUGCGACCUUCCACAUGACGGUCCAAUGCGGCGUCUCGCCGGAGUGAUGCGGGACACACGACCUUGUUUGCCGGUGCUGCUCGGAACAGAGUUCGAGUCCAACUGUGCUGUUGCAUAAAAGGUUUCAUGAUUGUUUAUUUAUUGAUUAUAUCACUACGCCACUCUUGGGCAAUUUUCUUUGCGCAAUAAGUAGGUUUCUGGGAUGUUCGGCUUUUCUCGUGAAAGGGGCUAACUGAACUCACGGAAUUACUCUUGAUCCCAGUUUGAUUGGAAGAUGUGUUGAUGGAAAUAUUAUUGAAUCUCUUUGUUAUCUAAAUAUCAAACUCGUAAUACUUGACCCACAACCAAAUAGCGACACAGCAAGUGUCGCUAGAUGUUACUUCCCGUUGUUGGUUCGUCGAACUCUAGUGCCUCUUCUCAUGUGGCUUUAUUACACUUAGUUGUAAAAUUUAGUACAAAAAAAGUCAUCCACGAUAACUUGAGUAUGUUUUUACAUUCCAUCAACCAAAAAAAAUAAUGGCGAAUAAAAAACACAUUUGAAUUAAUGUCAUGAUCUGUGAGAUUGGCUGGUGGCUGGUCUUAAGGUGUCCGCCACCACUUGCUCAAAAGUGUUUGGGUUCGGUUCCCACUCGUGCCAAUCCAAUGACGGCAAGCGCUUUCUUUCUUGUUGUUCUUUAUAAACUAUGAAAGAAUUUAGUCUUUGUGUGAUUUAAAAAUGACCUUUUGGACUGCAGGUCAGCGAUUGGAGUACAUUUCCCAUUGAUUUAUUAUUAUUUUUUUAUUAUUGGCGCCAUUGAAUAACUAUGGUUACGACAUUCUUGCAGAAACAAGAGGAUAUUCCGGUAAUACUGUACCUCUAUUAUACUAAUCGAGGAUUGAAUCUUCAAUUUGGCAUUUUACCAAAUAGGAAAGUCCAAGUUCUCAGUGGAUACUCUCAACUCCUGGUUCUGCAACAACCCGAUUGAAUGGAUCCAGUUGACGCUUUCCUCCACAGGGUUCACUGCCGAGCCCAUUUCAUCUUUGCUGAUAAUCGGGAAUCCCCCCUCAGCACCGCUGGCUCACAUAAACAGUGUCAGCUAAAUUCAAGUGUUGCGAUGAACCAAAUUUCUUAAAUGCGCGUCAUUAAAGAUGAAAUUAGGAUCUGGGGAAACUGAGAAGGAUUUGCCUUCCAAUGGACUCGAGUCACUCCGCGGUGUUGUAACGUCACCGAGUUAAUGUUUC